CCUACGGGAGGCAGCAGUGGGGAAUAUUGGACAAUGGGCGAAAGCCUGAUCCAGCCAUGCCGCGUGUGUGAAGAAGGCCUUCGGGUUGUAAAGCACUUUCAGUGGGGAAGAAAGCCUUGGGGCUAAUACCCUCGAGGAAGGACAUCACCCACAGAAGAAGCACCGGCUAACUCCGUGCCAGCAGCCGCGGUAAUACGGAGGGUGCGAGCGUUAAUCGGAAUUACUGGGCGUAAAGCGCGCGUAGGCGGUCUGAUAAGCCGGUUGUGAAAGCCCCGGGCUCAACCUGGGAACGGCAUCCGGAACUGGCAGGCUAGAGUGCAGUAGAGGAAGGUAGAAUUCCCGGUGUAGCGGUGAAAUGCGUAGAGAUCGGGAGGAAUACCAGUGGCGAAGGCGGCCUUCUGGACUGACACUGACGCUGAGGUGCGAAAGCGUGGGUAGCAAACAGGAUUAGAUACCCCAGUAGUC
rnacentral:rRNA from 1 species